rnacentral:sRNA from 1 species
UGCAGACGGACCAGCCCAUUUACAACCCUGGCCAGCGGGUUCGGUACCGGGUCUUUGCUCUGGAUCAGAAGAUGCGCCCGAGCACUGACACCAUCACAGUCAUGGUGGAGAACUCUCACGGCCUCCGCGUGCGGAAGAAGGAGGUGUACAUGCCCUCGUCCAUCUUCCAGGAUGACUUUGUGAUCCCAGACAUCUCAGAGCCAGGGACCUGGAAGAUCUCAGCCCGAUUCUCAGAUGGCCUGGAAUCCAACAGCAGCACCCAGUUUGAGGUGAAGAAAUAUGCUGGUGAAUGGACAGAGCCACAUUUCCCUCUCAAAGGCAGAGUUCCAGGACGCCCUGGAGAAGCUGAAUAUGGGCAUUACUGACCUCCAGGGGCUGCGCCUCUACGUUGCUGCAGCCAUCAUU